UAGGGAAUAUUGGACAAUGGGGGCAACCCUGAUCCAGCAAUGCCGCGUGCAGGAUGAAGGCCUUCGGGUUGUAAACUGCUUUUGUACGGAACGAAAAAGCUCUCUCUAAUACAGGGGGUGAAUGACGGUACCGUAAGAAUAAGCACCGGCUAACUACGUGCCAGCAGCCGCGGUAAUACGUAGGGUGCAAGCGUUAAUCGGAAUUACUGGGCGUAAAGCGUGCGCAGGCGGUUUUGUAAGACAGAGGUGAAAUCCCCGGGCUCAACCUGGGAACUGCCUUUGUGACUGCAAAGCUGGAGUGCGGCAGAGGGGGAUGGAAUUCCGCGUGUAGCAGUGAAAUGCGUAGAUAUGCGGAGGAACACCGAUGGCGAAGGCAAUCCCCUGGGCCUGCACUGACGCUCAUGCACGAAAGCGUGGGGAGCAAACA
rnacentral:rRNA from 1 species